rnacentral:rRNA from 1 species
CACGUAGGCACCAAGCGUUGUCCGGAUUUAUUGGGCGUAAAGAGCUCGUAGGCGGUUCAGUAAGUCGGGUGUGAAAACUCUGGGCUCAACCCAGAGACGCCACCCGAUACUGCUGUGACUUGAGUACGGUAGGGGAGUGGGGAAUUCCUGGUGUAGCGGUGGAAAUGCGCAGAUAUCAGGAGGAACACCAGUGGCGAAGGCGCCACUCUGGGCCGUAACUGACGCUGAGGAGCGAAAGCGUGGGUAGCAAACAGG